rnacentral:rRNA from 1 species
CUUUCNGCCUAGCGUCAGUUACAGACNGAAAGUCGCCUUCGCCACUGGUGUUCCUCCAAAUCUCUACGCAUUUCACCGCUACACUUGGAAUUCCACUUUCCUCUUCUGCACUCAAGUCCCCCAGUUUCCAAUGACCCUCCACGGUUGAGCCGUGGGCUUUCACAUCAGACUUAAAGGACCGCCUGCGCGCGCUUUACGCCCAAUAAUUCCGGACAACGCUUGCCACCUACGUAUUACCGCGGCUGCUGGCACGUAGUUAGCCGUGGCUUUCUAAUAAGGUACCGUCAAGGUACAGCCAGUUACUACUGUACUUGUUCUUCCCUUACAACAGAGUUUUACGAUCCGAAAACCUUCUUCACUCACGCGGCGUUGCUCCAUCAGGCUUUCGCCCAUUGUGGAAGAUUCCCUACUGCUGCCUCCCGUAGGAGUCUGGGCCGUGUCUCAGUCCCAGUGUGGCCGAUCACCCUCUCAGGUCGGCUACGCAUCGUCGCCUUGGUGAGCCGUUACCUCACCAACUAGCUAAUGCGCCGCGGGCCCAUCUUAUAGCGACAGCCGAAACCGUCUUUCAGUAUUUCACCAUGAAGUAAAAUAGAUUAUUCGGUAUUAGCCCCGGUUUCCCGGAGUUAUCCCAAACUAUAAGGUAGGUUGCCCACGUGUUACUCACCCGUCCGCCGCUAACGUCAAAGGAGCAAGCUCCUUCUCUGUUCGCUCGACUUGAUGUAUUAGCACGCCGCAGCGUUCGUCCUGAGCCANGAUR